rnacentral:rRNA from 1 species
AUACGGAGGGUGCAAGCGUUGUUGGGAAUUACUGGGCGUAAAGCGCGCGUAGGCGGUUUGUUAUGUCAGAUGUGAAAGUCCACGGCUCGACCGUGGAAGUGCAUUUGAAACUGGCAAACUUGAGUACUGGAGGGGGUGGUGGAAUUCCCGGUGUAGAGGUGAAAUUCGUAGAUAUCGGGAGGAAUACCGGUGGCGAAGGCGACCUUCUGGACGAAUACUGACGCUGAGGCGCGAAAGCGUGGGGAGCAAACAGGAUUAGAUACCCCAGUAGUCC